rnacentral:rRNA from 1 species
AACGAACGCUGGCGGCAUGCCUAACACAUGCCAGUCGAACGAGACCUUCGGGUCUAGUGGCGCACGGGUGCGUAACGCGUGGGAACCUGCCCUUAGGUUCGGGAUAACUCCCCGAAAGGGGUGCUAAUACCGGAUAAUGUCUUCGGACCAAAGAUUUAUCGCCUUUGGAUGGGCCCGCGUUGGAUUAGCUAGUUGGUAGGGUAAAAGCCUACCAAGGCGACGAUCCAUAGCUGGUCUGAGAGGAUGAUCAGCCACACUGGGACUGAGACACGGCCCAGACUCCUACGGGAGGCAGCAGUGGGGAAUAUUGGACAAUGGGCGAAAGCCUGAUCCAGCAAUGCCGCGUGAGUGAUGAAGGCCUUAGGGUUGUAAAGCUCUUUUACCCGGGAUGAUAAUGACAGUACCGGGAGAAUAAGCGCCGGCUAACUCCGUG